rnacentral:lncRNA from 9 species
AUGGUUUUGAAUGGAACUCCUUCUCGAUCUCUUCAGGUUGAGAUUGGUAAACAACUCAAGCAUCAGCCUGUAGACACCUGUGGGCUCCCAGCUGAAGUCAACUGUGCAGGGAGGAAGGACACAGAGGAAAUACAGUUUCAUUUCCCAGUAACUCCCCUGACUCAAAUUAAGGUGGGAGCCGAGGAGAACAUCUGUAAAAACAGCAGCCUGCAAACUUGGGAGGGACGGAGCCAGGCCCCCCUUCACCGCACUUUGAGCCCCAAAACACCUUCUAGCUGUUAUACCAUACGAGUGAGAACGCCUCAGGGAUGUAUCAUGGCUCUAGAAUUUUUAGAUAAUCUCUGCACAGGACAAAGAACCACAGCUGUGCCGAAUCACACCCAUUUCAUAAAGCCGAGUGACAUCUACCAGCCUGAACACAAAAACCCUGGCAACUGCGUGGAAAGAAAAAAACCCAAACGGUCAUUCUCAGAGAACCAUCACUGAGUGACUUGACCACUGUCUGUCUUCCGUAUCAUUACAGGACAACUCUGAGCUUGUCAAAGGCUCUUAGAAUAUUACCACUGAGAUUUUUCUCUGAGUCUUCACAAAUACAGUGAUUAAUAAAGCAAUUUCAAAGGACUAGAAUCUUGGGCUGUGAUUUGCAUGCCUGUCAAUUUUGAUUAACACCAAACAACCAAAAUGAUUUCUAUGUGGGCAUGUGGUCGCGGAGAAAGUGGUGGGGCACCGCUGAGCUUCAAGAGAAGACCUGAGAUGUAAGCGCUUUCCUGUGUUUGUGCGGUCCUGAUGGCGGGCACGUCGACCUGAGGCGGAGCCCCUCCUCAUUCUGUGCCUCAGUUUCCUGAUACGUCAGAUGGAGCAGCCACAGGGGCCUUACCUUUCUUUGGAGGCUUGCACGGUGGUCGUAAUUAAUUAUCCUCUGCCUUCUUGCCCGUGGCUUGUCAGAAAGUCAGCUACUGUAAGAGAAGCGAGCGUCUGAGCAUCCGAGGGGAUUGAUUACCCAGCGUCCUUUCAUGCACAGCACUCCAGGCACCGCAGCCCUCCCUGGGUCCACCUGCAGAAUGUCCCCAUCCACGGAGCCAUGGCCAGCCCCACGGAGCGAGCCCACCAAAUGGAAACAUUCGGAGGGUUUUGACUCUCAAGGAUCUUACAGAAAAUAGAGCCAGAAGCUCCAUCUGGCACUCCAUUUGCUAAAUGUCCCAUGGAUAACAAAUACCGGGAAAUGGGGCUGUUGAAAUCCCAGAGAAUAGGACUUCCGCUCAGCAGCUUUCUAACGGACACGCACCACCCUCUGUGAGGCUGAAGCCCUCCGCCGCGUGGUCCAGUCCCGGGGAUCACACUCCAGCUCCCAGGCCUCUGCUCGUGAGGGACUCAGAUGCCCAGCUCCCUGACGGCUUCAGCGGCGUGUUGAUAACCGAGCGCCGAUAGAGGGCGGUGUUGCACGGCUGCAAAAGCCCGCGCUCCGCUCGCCGCCUCACAAGCCACCAAAGCACUUACCUCCGGCCUUCCUGCAACUCCAGCAUCAGCUUAUUAACGAACAGGAGCAAUCAAAACAAUUACCCCACGAAACAGAUGGCUUCUGGUCAAAGCUCAUUAUUGCUACAUCACCACUUUGAUGGUGGAAAGGGUUGAUACAGUAAUUCAUCGUUAUUCCUCACCAGAACUUUUCUGCAGAAGGCCACGUCUAUUAGGUCUCAUUUCUCAGAAGACAGAUCCAGAGGAGCUAACGGCAUGGUCUGAGCCGCUCAGCCCAGAACCAGACAGAGCUGGAAAGAACACUUGGGGUUUCUGCACGAUUCUGGGGGAGCUCUUAACAUGCUGCUUUGCUGUCUUGAUAUGAAAACCACCCACAGCCUUCCUUUGCUCUUGAUGAAGUGGGGUGGUUGGCUGACUGGGCCAGGCACUGGGACUUCAGGGAUGGGACCCCCUUCCCCCACCUUCCCCCAACUGCCAUUUAUCUUAAGUUGAUAACUGAUGACCCAACCAGCUCAUUAAGCCCAUUCUGCGGCUUAACCUCAAGGAAGGAAGGUGUUAGAGGAGGAUGGAAACAGAACAUAAAAUUAAGCCCAACAGUGAAACGGAUUCAAACGUUUAGGGGUAUCAGAGUCUCAGCCUUCGCUGUUUCCUCCCUGCUCUUGGAAAACUGAGAACAGCUUGCAGAGCUUGGGAGCUGUCAGAGCUUGCUCUCACACUCUCCCGAGUCGACCUCUGACUCCCGAAGAAUCUCAUUUUUGCAUCCCACAUUCUGAAGGCAUUGAAUCACCGUUUGGCUAAGCGCAUAUCGGCUUUGGUGUCACCUACAUACACAGUCUUGCUGCUUUAUUUGAGGCCUGGUGACACAUUCUCUUAUGUAAUGUGCUGGCAGUCGAGUAACACUGAGAGCUUCCCCAUUAUGUAUGAGGUGUCAUCUCUGAAGUGGAGACUAUUUCUUGCAAAAUGGCACUGAUAAAUUGAUAAGUGGAAUCAGCUGACAAACAGUGCUAUAACAACGCAGGCUUCCUCUCACUGCCAAUUUAUCUCGAAAACACUGUUAGGCAAAAGAAGGUUUUCUGGCCUAAGUAGGUGCCGUUAUGUAUUUCGGAAUGACAGAUGAAAAUAAGGAUUUGCAGUCACACCUGCUAGUAAAUGUGCUCUUAUCACUUGUCGUCAUGUGGUCAAGUCAACUGUAAGGGUCAGGCCUGGAUGCUGGCACACCAGGCGGCAGAGGAUCUGGUUUGGGGCUGUGAAAAUUUUCUCUCCCGGAUGGCAACUCUGUCUGGCACCUCUUUCAACCACCCAGAAAAGACUGUUGGCCCCCAGAUAGUCAAGUGUUACUUUCGCUCUUACUAAGCGCGGUGCCAGUCUUGGGGCAGUCGGAAAGGGUGGAGGAAAGCAUGGUGCUUUGAUGGCUCUGGCCUGGUCUAAAGCGACACACCCAAGAAGGGUUUGUACCCACAUCCUUCCCGCUGCACCUGGGUCGUUGGUGGCAAUCAUCUUUGCAAGGUCUCUUGGAUGCCCUGCCAACUAAACUCAGCGGGAUCUUGCUAUAAACGGGCCAUUUGCUUCAUCUUUGUCUGCGGGGUGGAAUGGAGGGACCCUGGAAAAGCAUUUGGCCCAAGGUCUGAGUAAGUUUCUCUGAUCGAAAAUGGUACCGUGUAUCCAGGUGCCUUGGCUGCAACCAACUGUUUCAUCUCAAGACAUCAUCAAACAUCAGACACAAAAGAACUCUAAAGGCUAAUGUCCCAACCGCUCAGCUCACUUUAGGCACCGAGGUUCAGGGAAGUGCAAAGACUUGCCCCUGGGUUGAGGUGGUGAGGAAG